CCUACGGGCGGCAGCAGUGGGGGAUAUUGCACAAUGGGGGGAACCCUGAUGCAGCGACGCCGCGUGAGUGAGGAAGCGUUUCGGCAUGUAAAGCCCUAUCAGCAGGGAAGAAAAUGACGGUACCUGACUAAGAAGCCCCGGCUAACUACGUGCCAGCAGCCGCGGUAAUACGUAGGGGGCAAGCGUUAUCCGGAUUUACUGGGUGUAAAGGGGGCGCAGACGGUAAUUCAAGCCAGAAGUGAAAGCCCAGGGCUCAACCUUGGGACUGCUCUUGGAACUGAAUGGCUAGAGUACAGGAGGGGUAGGCGGAAUUCCUAGUGUAGCGGUGAAAUGCGUAGAUAUUAGGAGGAACACCAGUGGCGAAGGCGGCCUGCUGGACUGUGACUGACGUUGAGGCUCGAAGGCGUGGGGAGCAAACAGGAUUAGAUACCCCAGUAGUC
rnacentral:rRNA from 1 species